GCCCCGGUGGUAUAGCCCGGUCUAGUAUGGCGGCCUGUCGAGCCGCAGACCCGGGUUCAAAUCCCGGCCGGGGCGCCA
rnacentral:tRNA from 2 species